GCAGCUGGCUCUUUUGUAGCGGUCAUUAUAAUGAUUUUUACGUGUGUUGGGAAACGUGAUAAGGAUAUGGUAUUGCGUUAGAAGAUGCUUUAGUAUCAGUGAUGUUGAGUGUAUGACGUGUGAGUGAUGCUGAAGAAACUGAACAUUAUGCCUUAGGAGUCCAAAACUAAAACUAGAGUAAUAUUGAUAGAUGUAGGCCUAGAAACCCGUUGUUUAAAAUGGAAAGUAACAACAUCACCUUAACAAGUCAAACUGCUAUUACUAGUGAAUCUACCAGUGACGCGUCAAUGUUUCCAUCUACUGCCAGCAGCUCUACCAAUCAUCAACAGUGCUCACAACUGGUGGUUGAAGAACAGCUUCAACUCGUGCGUGUGCCAGUGUAAGCACCAGAAGAAGAUGAAGAAUACCAGUAAACAGCACUGGACAUUUAAAGGGUCAAAUUGAAGCACUUGCAAGACAGGAGUGUCAACAUCUAUGUGUCACUCUAGUAGAAAGGAAACCAGCACUUAUCAGUGAACUUCUGCAGGCCCCUCGUAUUUCCACCAGACAACAAUCUACAAGACAGCCAGUCCUUGGUGUUCCUGAAUGGUGUGUUUGCAACCACUGCCAUUUAAUGCCUACAGCAGUGGAGAGUGUCUGCUGCACUUAUGAACCACAGGAAUGCAUAUCAGUUCUGCAGGUAAGCAAUUGAGAUACA